GUCACUUCGCAACGAGGGCUGUGUCCGUAGGACUGAGUUGAACGUCUACAUGUGUCGCUUUACUGGGUAACAUCUAAAGGAAAACCAUACAUAGGACCGGAAUUAGAUCAGCUACCAAGAAGGAAGAAAGCAUGCGGCUCUAUCACCAUCGCAAACACAGCAGCAGCGGAAGAAAGCACGCAUGUUUCAGCGGCGGAAGCCAAAAGUCCCGGCGCGAGACCAGAGCCGACAGCGGAGUGGCGGCCAGCACAGAGGUCAUGGCGGACCUUGUGCUCAAGCUGGUCGUGUGCCUCCUGUUCAUGGCUGUGCUCAUCACCUGCUUGGCCCACUUCACGGUGAGCAUCCUGCCCAAGGUCAUCGUGGCCACUGCCAUCAUGUGGAGCCUCUGGAUGACGGCCAGGAGCAUCUGGGGAGACCAUCAGCUCAUUUUUCUCUAACUCCAUCCCCCUACGCUCCACAAAUUUCUCAACGCACUCCACCGGUGACCAUUGUACAAGAAAGACACCAAUGCUCCUCAACUUGCUCUGCAGUGUUUAUUAUGGAGCUGCGACGACUGUGCCAAAAGUUUUAGUGCGCGAUAUCGUCGGUCUUCCGCUGAGGUCUUUCUGCUAACUGGCUCGGAGAAAUUGUUGAUAUCUCACUUUUGAGAACGAGUCUCCGGUGUGCGAACUAUUUACGUGAGAAGGGUCUCUCGAACUGUCAUGCUAAAAAAAGAAGAAAUUUAUUCCAACGUCCUCCUGAUCACGUCCUAAACAGACGCCAUUCUUCCUGCCACAACAGACUAAAUGAUGUUUCUGUGCCUUCUGCAUCCAUCCACAACCAGCUUCGAGACUUGUGACGGUGCCACACGGCUUGCGAACAUUACGGUGGUCCUUGGCUUCAUGCAAGUUAGUAUCAGGACCAUACAUAUGUGAGCAGCCUAUUUAGAAGGAACUUGGUAUGCUUUGGGAUACAAGACUUGUUCUUGGCAGCUUCGAGGUUUGAAGUGGUGUGGCUACGAAGUGCCUUGCGUACACUCAUCAGCACGCUAUAAUGAAGAGAUGCUCACAGUGUGUUCUGAGUUGUCUGAAUUAGUAACGCGCGCUCCAGUGCACGUGGAUAACACAAUUUUAGUGGCGCUUCUGCCGGGCUCUUCAAUAGAGGACGGGUCCGAAGUCCGUCUUCCUAGCUGUGAAACACAAUUAAUUUAUUUGAGACUGCGAUAAUAUAACGACCACCUGGUGUUCUCAUGUGAGCUGUUGGUGAACUUUGACCAGCGUUCGCCGUGACCGUCGGCAAGACCUGAUGUGCCACACCGUUUCUAAUUGUCCUCCUCGUCCUAAACGACGUCAAUGCAUGGCGUGUUCGAAACGCAGUAUCGUAUAUAGAGUAUGGAGACAUGCAGCUGUGAAGUACAGUGUGACAGAAAAUUUCAGGAAUUUCUCCGCAUUUAUGCUCCGACACAUGUUAUGCUUUGGACCGCACGUUCCAAGCUUGGCGUGCUUGGGAGAUAACACGAAGGUCAAGUUAUAUAGGACUUGUAGGUGUCGCCUCCAGACAGAUGUCGCUUCCUACGAAGUGGUCCCAAGGUGUACUCCGAGGAGCACGCAGAUCGUUCGGUAAAGACACGUAACCGUGCUUCCUGUUUUUGGUGUGUCCGAUACGCACUAUACAUAGCGACAGCCAGCUCCCAUUAUGAAUCCCAGUACAGCAUAAUUUAAACACAAAUCUGUACACAAUAGCAAUACGUAUAAUAACACCCUCCGACGGCACAAUAUACUAAUAACGGCGUACUACAGCAGCGCUGCACACUAGGGGCGCCAGUGUGCGGUCGUGUGUUGCAAAGAACAACAAAGUGGUCCCUUUGAUUGUUUUGCUGAAGACGUCCAAACACGAAAGGCGCACAAAUUACACUGUCUUCCUCGCAAGAGCACGCACGACGUGCGAAUAAUUGGGCAAAGACACACGCGUCAAUGAACAAGGAUGAACGGCACUAUACAAUAUUCCGCAUACGGCGCAGACGUCGGCCUUCGAGAUGAAGAAAAGUGCCCGUUCUUUUUUGACGCACCCGUUAUUACAUCAUCCGAAGUGAUGGCCUUGUCGUGACGUACACAUAAUUAAAGGGUUCUCCACGAGA